rnacentral:rRNA from 1 species
GGAGCGGGGGAAGGUAGCUUGCUACUGGACCUAGCGGCGGACGGGUGAGUAAUGCUUAGGAAUCUGCCUAUUAGUGGGGGACAACAUCUCGAAAGGGAUGCUAAUACCGCAUACGUCCUACGGGAGAAAGCAGGGGAUCUUCGGACCUUGCGCUAAUAGAUGAGCCUAAGUCGGAUUAGCUAGUUGGUGGGGUAAAGGCCUACCAAGGCGACGAUCUGUAGCGGGUCUGAGAGGAUGAUCCGCCACACUGGGACUGAGACACGGCCCAGACUCCUACGGGAGGCAGCAGUGGGGAAUAUUGGACAAUGGGGGGAACCCUGAUCCAGCCAUGCCGCGUGUGUGAAGAAGGCCUUAUGGUUGUAAAGCACUUUAAGCGAGGAGGAGGCUACUUUAGUUAAUACCUAGAGAUAGUGGACGUUACUCGCAGAAUAAGCACCGGCUAACUCUGUGCCAGCAGCCGCGGUAAUACAGAGGGUGCGAGCGUUAAUCGGAUUUACUGGGCGUAAAGCGUGCGUAGGCGGCUUAUUAAGUCGGAUGUGAAAUCCCCGAGCUUAACUUGGGAAUUGCAUUCGAUACUGGUGAGCUAGAGUAUGGGAGAGGAUGGUAGAAUUCCAGGUGUAGCGGUGAAAUGCGUAGAGAUCUGGAGGAAUACCGAUGGCGAAGGCAGCCAUCUGGCCUAAUACUGACGCUGAGGUACGAAAGCAUGGGGAGCAAACAGGAUUAGAUACCCUGGUAGUCCAUGCCGUAAACGAUGUCUACUAGCCGUUGGGGCCUUUGAGGCUUUAGUGGCGCAGCUAACGCGAUAAGUAGACCG